rnacentral:rRNA from 1 species
UACGUAGGGGGCAAGCGUUGUCCGGAAUCAUUGGGCGUAAAGAGCGUGUAGGCGGCCCGGUAAGUCCGCUGUGAAAGUCAAAGGCUCAACCUUUGAAUGUCAGUGGAUACUGCCGGGCUAGAGUCCGGAAGAGGCGAGUGGAACUCCUGGUGUAGCGGUGGAAUGCGCAGAUAUCAGGAAGAACACCAACGGCGAAGGCAGCUCGCUAGGACGGUACUGACGCUGAGACGCGAAAGCGUGGGGAGCGAACAGG